UCUCUUUCCGGCCUUGGGCCUCGAGGGCUCGCUCCUCCUUUCCCGUGCAGCGCCGGGGCGCCGCGUGGCCGUCACAGCCGGGCGCCGCGGGGAGGCUGCAGCCCCCGUUAGGGUCAGUCAGGGUCCCAGCCGCCCUGACUGCGCAAUAAACCGGCGGGCUCUCCGGCCCUUUCUCCCAGGCUCUGGGGCUGCGGGAGCGGAGAGAGCCCCGGGGAGGAGGGAGCCUCGCGUUCGCCGUGUACCUGUGGGGAGGCCGGGGAGGGGUGAAGCUGGCCCUGCCUCAGUUUCCCUCUCUGUCAGUAGGGACAGGAGAGAACUCGGGCAGCGGUGCCCUUCAGAGGAUGCCCGCACUGCAGUGGGAGGUUGUGGCCCGUCCUAAAGGAAUUGCCAGGGAAGUAAGCUACCCUUGCUGGCCCUUGAAAGGACACAAGAUACAACCCUCCGAUCAAGGAUAGACAAGGAUCUCCCAUCUAUCAUGGAGAAGACAUCUCCCCAGUCACCUACCCUGAGAGGAAAGUGCCUAUGGACAAACAACCUCAUGGUCCUCCUCAUUGCUAUGCCCAACACUGAAUGCCUCUUCCAGUACCUUAGGUUCCCCUGCAAUGGCAACAUUGGGACCCCUGGGUUCUCUAUCGCCAGCAGUUUUUGAGAGCACUAGCUACUCCUGUGUGGAGCAUAAAGAAAGUCUCUUGUUCCAGCUCUUCCUCCUCAGCCUCAGGAGUAAUUGUUCAAGGAGCAGGAGACUAGAACUGGCAAAGUAUUGUCUCACAAACUCUUCCACAAAUAUCUCUUAGUUAGCAUCAGGUGUGGCUGUCAUGCCUCAGCCACCAUCCCAUUGUUCUAAGAUGCACCCAUUUGAAUGUUAAUGGUUCUCCAUCAUCCAUAGUCAGGGAGAGACAUAAUAUCAGCUGUGAUAGCAUAUGGCAGAUUUCAUAUCCACUGAGACAUUCGAUACAGCAAUUUCAUAAAAUCAACCAGAAUUCAUAAACUGUACAUAGACAUUCUCCAAAUCAUCACACCAUAUAUAGGAAGGAUCCUGGAAGACAACAUGGAGACAGGUGUGGCAGAAGGAAACAGAUCACAUUGAUGGCAGCCUCCUCAAUGGCAUUCUGUUACUAAACAAUGAGCUUAUUCAUAGGUUAAUGGGGCAGGGGGUAGGAUGGGGCGGGGAGACAGCAGCAUCAGUCAUACCAUUUUUGGAUUGCCUACAAGCUCGUACAAUAGGCAUUUUAACAACCAUAAUAUAAAAUAUACACAAAAUGCAAAGCUAUGUACAUUUGACAGUUUAUAAAAGAUUUACCGGAAAGAUUUUGAUUGAGGGAAGAGCAUAAUAUAAUGAUUACAGCAGGAGACUGGCAUUCAGGAGAUGGGUUCUACUUCUGACUUUCCUUGGCUUUGGUAAGUCACAACCGCUCUGUACAUCAGCUUCCCCAUCUUCAAAAUGGGAACAAGAACUACCCAUUUUGUAAAGAACUUUAGUUCUUCAGAUGAAAUUGGCUAUAUAUAUAUGCGCAAGUUAUUAUACAUGCUCAAUUUUCCACAUAAAUGUAUUUGCAUUUAUAAAAUGCACAUAUCCUAGGCUUUAUGUACCUGUUCAAACAACUGCAUAGAAAAAUGCAUAUCAAAAUUGAAAACAAUAGCUAUAGCAAAACUUUUCCCUCAGCCCACCCGUACAAUAAUUGCUUCUACUUUAUAUAAAAGUAAAGUUAUAAGAUGAAAAUGGGCAAUAAACACAUUUCUCAGGUUUUAUGUAUAUACAAAAACUCUGCUUAUAGUGGAUGCCUUCUGACCUUUUUUUGAACAAUAUUGUUUAAAUGACAGAGACAGGAGUAAGACAGGUGUAGAAAUAAGACGGAACUUACUUAAAAGAGAUUUGAUUUCUUAUACAACAAUUAUUUACAAGCUGCACACACUUUCUUUAGAUAAAUACACUUUGCACUUGAAACAUUCACAAUAACAGUUUAAACAGCUUUUAGAGUAAUCUCUAAUUUUCAAAACAGAUUUUCCUUCUCUCUGAUCUUUUUGUUUAUACACACAUAUUACUUAAAACAUGUGCCCAGCCCUAAGUAGCUAUAGCAGAUAUUUAACAGAAUGGACUAAAGUUAGAUAUACAGUUUUCAAGCACUGUAAUUCAGCCACAUUGUCCAAGUGACAUCAUGGGUGAAAAUAAGCCUCAAAACAUGAAGAUUUUAGAUGCAGAUCAUAUCAGCCUGAGAGUUUACUGUUAGUUGAUGACAAUUGCUUAUAUUGGAUUAAUAGCACAAGACAUUUUGUCUGUCCAAUAUAGAAAUUAUGACUAUAAAAUACAUAACAAAGGGUAAGUGUGACUUUCCAGUUGCAUGAGGACUCCCUAGAUAUAGCAACACCCAAAGUAGUAGUGAGCACGGUGUGCUAAAGAUCCAUACACUUAGAACUCUCACAUUUUCAACUUGAACAUUGAAAAAAUAUAAUUCUAUUGGCUGACUAUUUGGUUAAAUGAGCAGAACUGAAGAACAAAGUGGGAUGCCAUGGAAAUAAGUGACAUUAAUAGCGAAUGUAAGGAUUGUUACCUGUUCUACUACAAACAAAGUAAAGAGAGAUUAUAUAAUGAUAUAAAAGAAAUUGGUAGGAAAUAACACUGAAUUCUAAAUGAUAGGCUUGCUCAAUUAAACGUAAAAUAAAAAUUAUUUAAGUGCACACCCCAGCCAUUCUUCACCCAGGUGAUUGUGAACAAACUCUCUGGGCUCAGUUCUCCAAUGCUUUGCUUGUACAGUCAUUUGAAUCAGUGCAAAGUGGGUAUAUAAAUACCAUUCUGAUCUGGUAGUGUUUUAUAUGUACUUUGCAUUCAUUUUACAAUGGUGUACAUAAUCACACAAUGCAAAAGGCAGUGAAGAAUCAGUGCCUCCGUGGAAAAAGUAAGUUAGCAAAACAGUCUGAUGUUAUCUGUGCUGAACACAGGAAAGUGAGUAUAAGCAAAUAGCUAGUCACAAGGCUGAACUCCAAGUAAGAAACUCUCAAAGAAGAAAAUGAUCCAAGGAUUUGGAAGUCUUGCAAAAGGAGACCCAUGAAGAACAGGUAGAAAUUCCAAACCAAUUCCAACCUCCAAUAAAAGCUGAAAAUGAUGAACCCAACAUCUGAGAAAGCUCUGUCUCCUGCACAGAUGACCUUUUACCCUUGUGGAAAAAAGUUUCAUUGUUCCAGAGAGUCAAUCACAGUCCUCCUCCUAGAGCUUUAGGCAAUCUUUUAGAUACUUUGGGUCCAGGCCAUUUAGCACCUUGAAGAUAAGGACCAAGAACUUGAAACUGGCCUGGUAGUCUAUGGGAAGCUAGUAGAGAGUGGGGGACUUUGUGGUAUCUGAUGUCCCACCUCUUAUAAUCUUUACAUAAAGUCAGUUUUGAGUGACUCACUCCUUUCCAGAACUGGCACAACCAGUUUGAGCCAUCUCUCUAGCUCUUUCAGUGCAGCUUGCACACUGAGGUUUCAGUGAAAGAUUCCGAAAUACCCAGGUGUUGAGAGUCCCAUCUGGACUUGUUCCUUUGGCCAGGCUGGAACUGUUUCCCCAAGAAUAUAAUUAUAAUUUAUUCAUACACAAAUAUGUUGAUUUCCCCUGAGAUACCAUGAGGUCAUUAUUCCAAGACCAUGAUACAAAGCUGAAAUUCCAUACCUCACCUACCUGCACUCUGGUUUUGAAGUGUACUUCAUAAUGUUCUGUUCUGUUUUAUUUUGAUGAUUAGUGGAGAUGAAUCAAAGCUUCAGAUGAUUUUUUUCACCUCACUUCUCUUUCACUGAAAGAACUGUACCUUACCAGAUACCAAGCAAACGGUUACACAAUUUGCAAAACAGUCCUUUAAAACCAUCUGCUCACCAAUCUAGUUUCAUUAGCCCAUUU